rnacentral:lncRNA from 1 species
CACUUGACACUCACCAAUUCAAAAGUAAUUGAGCGAGAAAAUCUUUAGUUGUUCCCUCCGGGAUUCUCUUCAAGACUCGUUUGAGCACCUGAAGCAAUUAACAAGUAUUUUUCACUCACAAUCACGUAUUAAUCAAGAAAGGAGUUACGCUCAUUUGGACUAGUCAAUACCUCAAACCAAGAACCUUAGCCACUCAAAAUAAAGGUUCAAAAGUGAGGUUUUAUUAACACAAGAAAAACUGAUUUCCUUCAUGAAAUCAAGUUUAAAGUGACCAAUUAUCAUCAAGAAGGAGUAACGAGUUUUCAAAUUUUCAUUUUCUAAGAAAUCGGCAAAUUUCAAUUUUGCGCGUCAAAUUUAGAAAAAUCAGAUCUUGCACUCACUAGGUCCAAAAUUAGAAAACUUGGUACCGUUGGAAACCUCCUACAAAGUACUAAAAGUUCAUAAAAUACACUUUUCCAUGAAUCUAAGUGGAAGGUAUUCAAAAAUGGGCAUGAAGUUGCUGUUCCAGAACACUCAGAAUUGAGCCGGGGUUGGUUUUUUCGCUAACUUUGGAAAUUCGGCAAAAUUCACACGUUGCGAGUUAGCCUCUGAAAUUUGUAACUCAAUUAGAGUUGAAAGUAAGUUUAUAACAGAAAAAGCAGAUCAAGGAUCGGAGUUUCGAGCACCGAGAUAUGGUGGCUCAAAGUUAGGGAAAAUUCAAGACUGUUGAACAAUUUCCAGAUUUGGGUUUCCGACUUUGGACCUUUAGUUAAGUAUCGAAACAGACUUGGAUUGGUACCAAUUUUUGCAGUAUAGUACUCCUAUAUGAAGGGUAUCUCUCUAUCAAAUUUCGUGGAAAAAUACCUUCGGGAAGGUGGUUAACCAAUCAACCAAAGUUUUGAAAUUACUAAGGCAAAACUGCCUUUAGUUCCCUUUCUCUUGAUUUCCAAACAUUCGGCUAAGGAAAACCUCCAAACAUGGUUCAUUUGUGCAAGAAAGGUCUAAGGAACAUACAUGGUACAUUUAGUAGGUGUUUAGCACCAAAAUAUUCAGUUAGCGAGUCUAUACCAAGCAUUGCAUCAAAUCUGUCCAAAAGUCAGGGUUUUCAAGAGCAGGGCAGGCUCUGUAUUUUGAUCACAAGUCACUCACAUUAACUCGGAAUUGGGCAUGGUUUAUAGCGUUGGAAAACACAUUCAUAGAGCUAUAAGUUCACAGAAGAAAUCAUUUUAAAAUUCGGCAUACAACUAGCUCGAAAUCGAGCUUCAAAUGACAGCUUCUGUAUUUCAUUCCAGAAGAACAGAGAAACAGAACAGCUGAAUUCAGAAGAGUGGUGCCGCUCACACACAUGGAACCUGAAUGUGCAUUUUAUACCGUUGGAAAGGUGGGAAUGUCUAGUUUCAAAUGCCGCUGACGGCACUUGAUUUCGAUGUCGGACCACUGAGUUAUAGACAAAAUAUGAACACUGAUCUGAGCAUUACGGAAUCAGUUUCCAGAUUACUAGCUUUGGGAAAUAAAUUCAUUUGACCAGCCAAAACUCAGUAUUUUUCAAUGAAAAUUUUUAUACAACUACUACAACAUGUAAACAACACAAUCAAGCCAUUAAAUCCUCAAAUUUUUGCAUUAAAGUGGCCGAACAAAGCAGGGGCAAAAUGGUCAGAUUUGGCCUUUGCACCCCUCAUGAGCUUCCAUCAAUUUUCCACCAAUAAUCCACUAGUUUAAAUACUAAUACAACAUUAUAAACAUCAUCAAGCAUAAGAUCAGCUUCCAAGACAAAGAUGGGAGUUCAUAGAGCCCACCCAUUUCAUUUUACACCAUAACCAAGUCAUCCACAUGAAUAUCCAAGCCUACAAGUGUAAAUCAACUCUUAUAAACCAAGUUUAGAGUGUUAGAUCACUAUAUACCUCCUUGGUGUGCUUAAAACCAGAAUUUCGGCCCUCCUUGAAGCUCCAAGAAACCGUGAAAGCUCCUCCCUUUUGAAGCUCAAAGUGGUGUCCAAGUGUAGAGCUAAGUGUAUGUGAAGUUUGGUGUGAAUCUAUGAAGAUUUGUGCAAGAUUUGGAGAUGGAGAAAUUGAGAAGUCUUGGGUUGUUGUUGCAGCUUGAUGGCCGGCUGAUGAGAGCAGAAAAAGAAGAGCAAUUGCUGAUGAUAAGCUUCCGUGAG